GGAUUGUAAACUCCUGUUGUUGGGGAAGAUAAUGACGGUACCCAACAAGGAAGUGACGGCUAACUACGUGCCAGCAGCCGCGGUAAAACGUAGGUCACAAGCGUUGUCCGGAAUUACUGGGUGUAAAGGGAGCGCAGGCGGGAAGACAAGUUGGAAGUGAAAUCUAUGGGCUCAACCCAUAAACUGCUUUCAAAACUGUUUUUCUUGAGUAGUGCAGAGGUAGGCGGAAUUCCCGGUGUAGCGGUGGAAUGCGUGGAUAUCGGGAGGAACACCAGUGGCGAAGGCGGCCUACUGGGCACCAACUGACGCUGAGGCUCGAAAGUGUGGGUAGCAAACAGGAUUAGAUACCCUGGUAGUCCACACCGUAAACGAUGAUUAUUAGGUGUUGGAGGAUUGACCCCUUCAGUGCCGCAGUUAACACAAUAAGUAAUCCACCUGGGGAGUA
rnacentral:rRNA from 1 species